rnacentral:lncRNA from 1 species
AGUUAUUCCAAUAGGUCACGGACUUUCCACGCGCUCAGACAGCAACAUUCUUUAUCCAAUGGGUGAUGUGAUUUUUUAUCCAUCUGAAUAUUGUGUUAUCAUUUGUUUUAAUUCAAGUGAUAUUACACAUGUAGCUUGCUGGGUAUAUUUUACAAUAGUUACCUUUGGAAAUUUCUUAGAGAUUAUAGAUGGGACAGAGACAACAUUGCAGAUACGUCGCAGCUGGGCACCAUGAUCAUUGCCCCCAUACCUCCUUUUUAUGUUAUGAAGAUAUACAUGUAGGUUUCCUUUUUGGUAAUUUUUGGAGAUCAUAAAUGAUAUUAAUAUUAGAGAAAAGUAUAUUUUUCGUCCCUCAACUCUUGGCAGAGUCUAAGAUUUUGUCCCUCGACUUCGAAACCAGAAAACUUGCACCUCCAACUACUAAAACCGGACAAGGUUCAUCCCUGGACACGGUUUUGACCGGUUUUUGUGCUGACUUUCGCCGGUUUUGAUCCUGUUUUGACUUUUGAGUCAAAUUCACGUACUUUCUUCAAGUCCGUUUAUUUUUUCAGGUCCGCAUACUUUCUACAAAAGUUCAUGAAUUUGAAAGCAGUGCACGAACUUGAAAAAAGUACACGCAUUUGAGAAAAAUACUUGAACUAGAAAAAAGUAUGCGAAUUUGGAAAAUUGCGUGAACUUGAUAAAGUACGUAGAUUUGAAAAUAGUGCGAAUUUCAAAAGGAUAUGUGAAUUUGAAAUUUUUACGUGAACAUGAAAAAGUACAAAUAUUUAAAAAAUGUACAUGAAUUUCAAAAGAUUCACAGAUUCAAAAAAUAUACGCGUAUUUAAGUCAGCACCGGUCAAACCGGGGUGAGUUAGCACCAAAACCACUCAAAGCUGAGACCAGGGAUGAACCUUGUCCGGUUUCAGUAGUUGAGGAUGCAAGUUGUCCAGUUUCGAAGUUAAGGGAUCAAAUCUAGACUCCGCCAAGAAUUGACCGGUUGAGCUGCAAUUUGCAAGGUUUCUUGUGUCUGUGUGUACGAACAGAUCGAAUCAAAUUGAAGUGACUUUGAUUAAUUUCCUUUUCAAAGUUAUUGUUGGGCCAGCUAUUAACCUCUAUAAAACAUUUAUCUUCACUUCUCUUUUGCUGCCAGGAAAUCUGGUGCAAGCCCCACUACAGUUUUAUAUAAAGAUGUUGGAGGCAACAUCGGAAGAGACAAGUCUGCGGUAAAUUUCUCCCUGAUACUGUAAUAGUGUUAUCUAUAGUCUUAGAAAAAAAAAUCAACAUUUACUGUUAUCUGAAACGUAUGUUUUCUUAGCGUUUUCUAGCAUUUUCUGGUCAUCAAUUGACUUAUCAUCCUAUCUUUUUGUAAACCAUGGAAUUUUUAAAGUUCAAAAUAGCGUGUACAUCAACUAUUUCACUUCACAGUGAUAAAUGGAUGGAGUGCUUGUGACACAGAAAACCUCUUUUGUGGAUCUAACAACAAAAAUCUGUUUUCAGUAUUUCUUUGGAUAUGGAAACUUUUUUGGAUCGUCACCUAGAAAAUAAAUUGGCACAAGCUUACUGACAUAGAGUUGCAGGUCAGCGUGAGCUAAAAAUAUUUAAAUUCAAAAGAAUAUUUCCGAGAUAGUUUGCGGUUCCUAUUUUUCUGGUCAUGCUUUUUUGAAAAUAACUUUUCGUCAUGCUUGCUUUUAUACGGCUUGUUGAAAAUUCAAUUUUACUAUUAGAAGAUGAUAAUAAAUCAGAUUCAUACUGGAGUUCACUUUUCUUGAACAGAAAACAGAAGGAUCAGGUUGUACGUGAUAGAAUAUAUGCCUAUAAAAUGAAAAGGAUAAUAGAUUCCUAAGUACUAGAACUGUCAUACCAUUCCCAGGAAGUUGCUUCUUGAUGUCAUUCCAGAAAAUAGAAGGAUCAAUAGAAUGUUCUCGAUGAUCAUUUUAGGUGUCCUUUUAGGUAUCAACACCAAAUAGCAGGGCUUCAUCUUAGUACUGAUCAAUAGGAGCAUGUUCGAACUAUUGCAUAAGUAAAAAUAAUUUCUUCAUGACUUCUCUUAUGCUCCCAGGGAAUCUUGUCCAAACUCCACAUCGCUGUCACCGAACAAAGUUGGAGGUGCAACUGAAAGAGACCAGCCAGAUUCUUCUUCCGGGUAUUAAAAAGAAAACCUGGCUAGAGAUUUCAUGCCAUGCCAUUCCAUUUAUGUUUGCUUGUGUGCUUAUCAUAUCUGAUUACAUGGUUGACAUUUAUUUCAUAAUUAGCAUAUACUUCGACACAUGAUAUGUUUUUCUUUAUUUAUGGACAACAAGAUACGUUUACUUAUUGUGAUCACAUAAGUGAACAAACAUAGCCAACGGUUAAAGUUUAUAUCUACUAUGUAUAUAUUUUUUCAUUCACACAUGUCUCACUGUCUUUUAAGCACUUAGAGAGAACUGGAGAUUGCUCUCAUUAAAUGUGAACAAGAUUGAUGUUCUUUUUUUCCAAAAUAGUAAAUACUGUGUUCUCUUGAUUGUUUUUUGAUUUUUCAGCUUACCUGAAUCUAAGAAGUCCGACCAUCAAUUAAUGAGAGAUUUUUGCUUCUAUCAUUCGUGGAACCAUAGAAAUGAAAUACAGACCGCGCCUCAACCAAUACUUCACAAUCUUUUUGCCCGAAGCAAAUAGUAUCAUUAUUUAUAUAUUCUAAAUUAAAAUAUUUUCACUUGUGUGCUCAAGUAAAAUUUUACUGCUUAAAGGAGAAGAAACCAUUUUAUCACUCCUACAGUUCACAGGGAGAGAGAACAAGAAAGAAAACCUUCCACCACAAUCUUGUCUUCCUACUUACUUUUACUUACCAAGAAGAAUCAACAAUAAGGGAAUCUUUUAAGGAAAUGGAUAAAAGAUCAUUUUCAGUUAGUAAUGUACAACUCCCAACUUGUCUCUUUUACUUCUUUUUCUGUGCAUGUGCACCCUGUUGAAUGGUGUUGUACUUGUACAUACUGGAAUUGCAGGCAAAACAAUGUGAUGGAUGGUCUAAAAGAUUAUCUGGAUGAAUUCAUCUCCAGGGUAAAAGAAGCCAGGCAAUGUGCAUGACGUUUGAUUGGAAAUAAUGUUACCUUGAAAAUGUACGAGUGCUUUGUUGGCAUCUAACAUUGCAGAAUCAAACAUUGAUGCAUACCUUUGUAAAUUCUCUUGGGGAGAAAAAGUAUAAUUUGCAAGUUGCAACAUUGAUCCCAAAAUACAUGGUGUUCACACAUACCUAUUUUAUGUAGUUUGUGAUAAACCAAAAUGUUCAGUCUUUGAAAGUACCAUCAAUGACCUCUAUUUAUAUGGAGAGUUAU